GAUGAAGAACGCAGCGAAAUGCGAUAAGUAAUGUGAAUUGCAGAAUCCAGUGAAUCAUCGAAUCUUUGAAUGCACAUUGCGCCCGCCAGCAUUCUGGCGGGCAUGCCUGUUCGAGCGUCAUUUCAACCCUCGACCUCCCUUUGGGGAAGUCGGCGUUGGGGACCGGCAGCACACCGCCGGCCCUGAAAUGGAGUGGCGGCCCGUCCGCGGCGACCUCUGCGUACUAAACCAACUCGCACCGGAACCCCGACGUGGCCACGCCGUAAAACACCCAACUUCUGAACGUUGACCUCGAAUCAGGUAGGACUACCCGCUGAACUUAAGCAUAUCAAUAAGCGGAGGA
rnacentral:misc_RNA from 1 species